AUUUUUAUUCACAUGAUUAAGUGAUAGAAAAGAAACACUACCAAGUCAAACUCUUUAGGAGAACUAGAAAUGAUAACAUAUCUUAUUUUAGAUCAGAUACUCGACUAAGACAAAGGAAGGAAUAGUUUUUUUUUUAAUAUUUGUAAAAGAAAACCUUUUGAUUAAAUGAAAAUUCAAAGAUGCUUUGUAUAUAAGACUUUUUAUGUUAAUAUUUCAAAUUUUAUAAGUUUGCUGAAACAUCAAAUGUAAGGAUCGAUAACUUCUUUUUGUUCGUUUCUUUCUUGUAAUGAAGAGAUCGAUAAUUUUGAUAUGAAGUACAUUUGUGAGUGAACCCGGACGAGCUAGCUCAACUGGUAACACUUUAGACUCCAGUCUGAGAGGUCGCGAGUUCGAGUCUCGGGCGGAGAGGAGUGUCCAGGGUCGUAAUGGUACAGACACAGGCUGGCUCCGGGUCUAGGAGGGGAUUAGGGCCGAAGGCCCGAACCCCGCCUGGUUAAACAAAAAAAAAAGUACAUUCGUGAGUGAGUACAUAUUUCAAAUAUUUAGAUUAUUAUAUUUUCAUAAAUAACAUACUAUCAGAUAUUUAGAUUAUUAUUUCUAAACAUUUAGAUAGCUAUCUAUCUAUCUAUUAUUAUAAAGAAGAAUUUCUCUUCUUCUUCCUUCUGUCAUGUCAUCAAUUCAUUGAACUUGAAUGCACCACAUGUCCUGCUUCACCGAUCCGCUCUGUUGUGUACAUUGUUUGGACUUUUCUUUUAUUAAUACAUAAAACUUUAAUACUAUUUUCAAAUUAGGCCCACGACUUAUUAGGUAUCUUCGUUGUCGAUGUCUAUUCUACGCCUCUGUAACCGUUUCAGUUUCAUCAAACAUUGUUUUUUUUCGCCAGAACUUUGUAACUGAAGAAGUUGAUUUCAGCCUUCACUUCCAUCAAUUAAUUAUUAGAGAUUAACGACGGAAUUCAUUGACAUCAAACCAUGAAUUCUUCAUCCUUUUAGCUUCCCUCAAGUCUUGACUAUUUUCAUACACUAUUUAUAUGGAGCUGAAGAGGACGGCUAUGUGGAUCAAAUCGUCACUGUCUUCUAUUAUACCUAAGAACCUGCAAGCAGGUUACAAGAAUCCUCAACUGCUUCUUUCUGAGUUGGCUGGUCGGUACAAGGAAACCGGACCCGUCUCCUCCUCAGUUCUUGGGAAGCAAUGAAUGUGGGGGAAAGCUUACGGGGAUUGAUAUAUUUUGGUUGAUAAGAAGUCUACUCUGAUUCAGGGAUCUAUGAGCUGAGUUGAUUUGAUUUGACAAGGAGUAAUCAGUACUUUAAGCUCCCCACAUCACUUUCUCUAUUAGAUUCAAGCAACAUUCCACCAUGAUCUAUAUUGCAGAAACCGUUAAUCCAUUACCAACGGAGGUCUUCAUGUUCCGCGAUUAGGAUGAGAUGGUGGUACUAGCGAACACAGACACAUACUUACCAGGUCAGGUUGUGAACUUUACCUCGAUAUUGCUUGGGUUAAAUGCAUUGGUUUGAUGAUGGAAUGUUUUACUUACACAUGGUUUCACCCCAUAUUGAUCGGAUUAAAUGGAUUGGUUUGACGAUGCAAAUGUUUUACUUAUUCCUGGUUUCAUAUUAGAUAUUGUUGGUGAAUUUUGCUAUAAACAGUGGAUUUCAUGAUUUUUUUAUGAUUUCUAAAAUAAUAACAUUGAACCAAUCUUCAGGGACCCGACUGUUUUUGUAAGUGUGUUGACAGGAUCGAAAUUCGCAACUGUACUUCACGAGAAAUUGGUGGCCUCAGGUGUUGAGCCCAAGGUGGUCGUCGCUACCAACGUGAAUCCUAAGCUGGUUGGAGGUUGUGUCUUCCUAGACGCUACAUUAGGCACAUAUUUCUACUUCGACACAGAGAGUGCGCUGGCCAGAACGUUUUUGAAGCGUAAAAUCUAAACUCUCCAACUUUAUCUUUUAACCAAAAUCCUUUCUCCUGCUUAAAUUUUUUUGAUUGAAACAAGAAAUUUUCCCAAGAUGUCUCAUCUUUCUCAAGUUCAAAGGUGUAAUAAUUUAAAGUUGCUGGCCAUACUGUUAUUGAAGUUGUUUUCUUGGUUUUAUA